AGCUUCGUGGUCGAAUGGUAAGGACACUUGCCUCUCACUAUGGAGUCUCGGGUUCGAUCCCCGGUCGAGGAGCUA
rnacentral:tRNA from 1 species